CUGGCUCAGGACGAACGCUGGCGGCGUGCCUAAUACAUGCAAGUCGAGCGAACCACUUCGGUGGUUAGCGGCGGACGGGUGAGUAACACGUGGGCAACCUGCCUGUAAGACUGGGAUAACUUCGGGAAACCGGAGCUAAUACCGGAUAAUCCUUUUCCUCUCAUGAGGRAAAGCUGAAAGWCGGUUUCGGCUGUCACUUACAGAUGGGCCCGCGGCGCAUUAGCUAGUUGGUGAGGUAACGGCUCACCAAGGCGACGAUGCGUAGCCGACCUGAGAGGGUGAUCGGCCACACUGGGACUGAGACACGGCCCAGACUCCUACGGGAGGCAGCAGUAGGGAAUCUUCCACAAUGGACGAAAGUCUGAUGGAGCAACGCCGCGUGAGCGAUGAAGGCCUUCGGGUCGUAAAGCUCUGUUGUUAGGGAAGAACAAGUACCGGAGUAACUGCC
rnacentral:rRNA from 1 species